rnacentral:lncRNA from 1 species
AAAACAAGAAAAUAGAGCUUUAAGUGGAAUAGGAUAGGAAUUGGGAAAAUACAUGCAAAAGAGGAGUAAAGAAUUAUCCAAAAGAAAAUAAAUCAAAACGUGGGAAGAAAAAAAAGAAAGUAAAGAGAAAGUGAACAAAAGUGGGGAGUGGAAGAGAGGAAUGUGAGAGUGGGAAUUGAGAGAGAAAUUUUUGGGAUAAUUUCAAACUACC